GGAGGCAGCAGUGGGGAAUAUUGCACAAUGGGCGCAAGCCUGAUGCAGCCAUGCCGCGUGUAUGAAGAAGGCCUUCGGGUUGUAAAGUACUUUCAGCAGUGAGGAAGGUGGUAGUGUUAAUAGCACUAUCAUUUGACGUUAGCUGCAGAAGAAGCACCGGCUAACUCCGUGCCAGCAGCCGCGGUAAUACGGAGGGUGCGAGCGUU
rnacentral:rRNA from 1 species